ACUCGAUGGAACUUCGAAUAUGGAGGCACGCGUACAAAGAAGAGAAUUCAAAGUUCUUUGUCGUAACUACGUAAGCGUUUCAGUGUAUACAGUUCCGUGGGAGAACCUGACACUUACGAUGGCAUGCACACCGGCGGCGAGCAGACUAUAGGCAACGCACACACAGGCAAGCACGCAACAUGGCAACCGUGGCAGGACGUAGACGAUGGUUAUACGUAGAAGUUCCAGUGGCAGGGGGUCAGUGUAAAACGGCCUUCUGUCCGCAACGUGUCGAACGUCGUUCCUAUAAGCUCCGUCUGUUCACCGUGGUGUCACUCUUGUUCGUUUACAAACACGUUUCGCAAAUCGAAACGGGUGAGAUCGUUUCGUCGUUAGGUAACACGGACAGUGUGUCGAUCGUCGAAACUUCGUCGUGGCCAUAGUCGAUAAAACACGCUGACUCGCGUUGUACGAGGAUAAAAGAUUAUCGUGCUCGUUAAUGGCUGCCAGGGUCGUCGGCUAGAGGCCGUUUAGCGAAGUUUCGAGCUGCCAGCGCGAUAACACAGCCCGUACCCGAUGAGUGUUAGAUCGGCAGGCGGACACAUGGUGAAGCAGAGGAGGUUCAUCGGCAAUACGAACAACAAGAUGAUCAACAUACGAGAAUAUUUAUAGGUUUUUUUAGAUUUCAGAGGACGAGAGGAGAAAAAGGGGUAGUGGAGAUACGCUAUGGUCACACCUCGCGACGACCGCGCGACGACCUGAUUUCCCUGAUUCUUUUUUUUUACGAGAUGUUUGAUUUUCACGCACAGAUCCAAUUUAUCCAAUGUUCACAGGAAGGACGAAUUUGAAAUUGAUAUUGGCGUGGAAAAAUACGUGGAGAAAAAUAGGGAAACAGAGAGGGAAACAUGAUUUCUCCUUAACGACGCACUGUCGCGGAAACGCACCGAUCAGAAAUUGAUAGCGUUGUAUCGUUGUUCCACGUAUCCAGCGAGUUGGCGUUUCGUUUAGACAGGUUUUUCUUAGGUUUACAGGGAUUCUUCUAGUAUUGGUGAAAAGAGAUAGAGGAUAAGCCAAAGCGAACCAGUGAUAUUUUUUUAUGCAGUAUUUUUCUUCCAUUAUUACGAGCAAAUAAAGCGAGCAGAAGAGAGAAAGAAGGAGAAACGAGGGUCGUAUUUUGAUGAAAAAUAUAAAAUAAGGACAAAAGAAUUGAUAUAUAUAUAUAUACAUACAUAUAUAUUGGACGAAUUUACGGAUUUAUAAACACACAGAGAGAGAUUCUUUUUUUCUUUUUUAACUUGUUUCUACUCGACUCGAGAGCCGACAUCGGCAGGUUUUCUUCAAAAUGGUGGCUUCAGUAAUUCGUACUCGUGCGAGGCCGAUCGCUGCGCCUUUCGUUUCCAACGUCGUGAACGUUCUCCUCUCGCUGCCGUGCGUGCACCACCACCACCACCACCACCCUCUCCGCACGAACCUACGCGCCCUCCCCACGUUCGACGCGCUUCGACACCCCAACCCCCUCCACCUGGAACAGACCCUCGGAUUCGUUUGCUUUGGAUCAACACCACGCGCGAUACGUGGGACCACGCGUGUGCAUUUUCAACCCGCAUAGUGAAGCCUAGUGAAGUUGCGAGGGACACUUAUGAAGGGGUCCGUCAACGCACCGAGGCCUAUCGUUGAUCAGAACAGAUACAUUUGGGAUAACGAUUGGAAGCAGUAGAGCUUGGUACAAGAGUUGUUAAUUAAGAAUGCGCAAUGACACGGCGAAUUUGUCAGUGGACAGCAAACCCGCGCGAGAAGGCGCAGGGUAUGGAAAUGGAACCCCAAAAAACAAACUCUCACCGCCAG